rnacentral:siRNA from 1 species
ACUGCAGAGGGUGCUAGUGUGCCA